rnacentral:rRNA from 1 species
UGGGGAAUUUUCUGCAAUGGGCGAAAGCCUGACAGAGCAAUACCGCGUGAGGGAUGACAGCCCUAUGGGUUGUAAACCUCUUUUUUCAGGGAGGAAGUUCUGACGUUACCUGAAGAAUAAGCAUCGGCUAACUCCGUGCCAGCAGCCGCGGUAAUACGGAGGAUGCAAGUGUUAUCCGGAAUCACUGGGCGUAAAGCGUCUGUAGGUUGUUUAGAAAGUCUGUUGUUAAAUCUUGAGGCUUAACCUCAAACAAGCAAUAGAAACUUCUAUAACUUGAGUGUGGUAGAGGUAAAGGGAAUUUCCAGUGGAGCGGUGAAAUGCGUAGAUAUUGGAAAGACCACCAAUGGCGAAGGCACUUUACUGGGCCAUUACUGACACUGAGAGACGAAAGCUAGGGGAGCAAAUGGG